rnacentral:rRNA from 1 species
UAAUGACUUACAACUUUCAGCGGUGGAUGUCUAGGUUCCCACAACGAUGAAGAACGCAGCGAAAUGCGAUACGUAAUGCGAAUUGCAAGACCUCGUGAAUCAUUAAAAUUUUGAACGCACAUUGCGCUUUCGGGAUUUUCCCGGGAGCAUACUUGUCUGAGUGUCUGUGGAUCCCACUCAGCGCUGGUGUUAUUGUUAUCAUCGGUUGCUGGUUGCUUUGGCUUUGACGGUGGUUGCUGCUCCAGUAGCCAGCCGCUGCUGUCUUUGCUUAAAUUCUAC